CCCCCCCCCCCCCCCCCCCCCCCCCCCCCCCCCCCCCCCCCCCCCCCCCCCCCCCCCCCCCCCCCCCCCCAGGGCUCUGAGGGGCUCCGGCUCUCCCUCCGAGCUCCCGCCCUCAGGCAGGGCCGAGGUCCCACAGAGGCUCCGGGCCCGUGGCGCCCUCAGGGCGGCGCUGCCCGGGGCGAGGCAGGAGCGGCGCCCGGAGCCGCGGGGCUGCGGCCGGGGAGCGCUCGGGGUGCAGGGCGAUCCCGGCUCUUGGCUCCCUCCGGGGAAGCCACUCAACCUCUCUGCCUCAGUUUCCCCAUCUGCAAAGGUGGGGGGGAUUCAAUUUUACCUCACCGGGCUGUUGCGAGGCGCGAGCGGCGCGCGGCGUGUUCUCUCGAUGUGACGUGUUCUCCUUCUUCUGUGUCAUAGGAUUAUUGUGCAGGGGUGCCCGAGGCGGGGGGACUCGGGGAGCUCAGUGCUCGCUGCCACAGCAGCUCCGGGGAACCCAUCGCUGGCUUCUGCCUUUGUGUCUCCCCUCCCCGGGGGCUGGACGAGCGUCGUCUCCUUAGCAACAUUUCCUGACUUGAUGUUGUGAUUCUUACUAUGGUAAAGGGUUGAAAUAAAGCUUCUAGAUGUUCCUCCUCAGGCUGCUGUGGCUCUGUGGGGCGGGAGG
rnacentral:lncRNA from 12 species